rnacentral:sRNA from 1 species
GCUGGGUGUGGUGACGUAUACCUUUAAUCCCACAGCUUGGGAGGCUGAGGCAGGAGGAUCGGAAGUUCAAAGCCAGCCUCAGCCAAAGCAACUCAGUGAGACCCUGUCUCUA